GUUGAACGCUGGCGGCAUGCCUUACACAUGCAAGUCGAACGGAAACAGGUCUUCGUUUGCUGACGAGUGGCGAACGGGUGCGUAAUACAUCGGAACGUGCCCGAUCGUUGGGGGUCACGGAGCGCAAGCUUUGCUAAUACCUCAUAAGAUCUACGAAUGAAAACAGGAGACCGCAAGGCCUUGCGCGAACGGUGCGGCCGCUGGCAGAUUAGCUAGUUGGUGGGAUAAAAGCUUACCAAGCCGACGAUCUGUAGCUGGUCUGAGAGGACGACCAGCCACACUGGGACUGAGACACGGCCCAGACUCCUACGGGAGGCAGCAGUGGGGAAUUUUGGACAAUGGGCGAAAGCCUGAUCCAGCAACGCCGCGUGCAGGAUGAAGGCCUUCGGGUUGUAAAAUGCUGUUGUAAGGAACGAAAAGACUCUGGUUAAUACCUGCAGUCCAUGACGGUACCGUAAGAAUAAGCACCGGCUAACUACGUG
rnacentral:rRNA from 1 species